UACGGAGGAUGCGAGCGUUAUCCGGAUUUACUGGGUGUAAAGGGAGCGUAGACGGCAGUGCAAGUCUGGAGUGAAAGGCGGGGGCUCAACCCCCGGACUGCUCUGGAAACUGUACGGCUGGAGUGCAGGAGAGGUAAGGUGGAAUUCCUAGUGUAGCGGUGGAAAUGCGUAGAUAUUAGGAGGAACACCAGUGGCGAAGGCGGUCUGCCUGGACGAGCAACUGACGCUGAGGCGCGAAAGCGUGGGGAGCAAACAGG
rnacentral:rRNA from 1 species